rnacentral:lncRNA from 1 species
UCAUGCUUGUACGAGACAAUAUGGAUAGUGAGAUAAUUCUCAUAUUGUUGUGAGGCUGCAUGAUUCCUACUGUUGAUAAUUGCUAUGUGUAUGCUGUUCUAUACAUGGAAAUAUGUCCCCCAUAAGUACAAGUUAAUUUGCAACAACUUCAGUUAUUCUUACUUCCCCUACAGGCUUAAUCAUGGUGGAAAUUGUUAAGCUUUACUAUGUUGUAGGGGAAUGGUUGGUAGAUCUCAGACAUCUUGUUUAUACUUAUACACACAUGGAUUGUAUUUGUCAUAUCAGAUGAGAUCAUACUGGGUCCCUUUGCAGGUUAUUUUGAGUGUGGUUCUCUUUGGCUAGUACUAGGUGAAUAGGACAGUAAGUAGAUUAUCAUUGAAUGGCGUACACAUAAUGCACAUGCUACAAGCCAAUUAAAUCUUCUGUACACUGUGGCACCAUUAAUGGUUGAUAAUGUACGGUUGGUGAAUCUGGGUUUUUUUCUGUUUCGCAUUCAUCUGUGGCCAGUCAGUUUUGUAACAUCAUUCAAUAACUUGGACGAUGGCAACACUUGAACCCUAAGAGCCACAUGUUGCCUACUUUUAAGAUCCAUACAUAUGCUCAGCAUAUGACUAAGUGGCCAAGAGAAGUUUAGGAGCUGUACCUGCAAAUUUAAGAUUUGUCAGUUGGCAUGCCCAUGAACUUCCUCAUUGAUUGCAUAUAAAUUCCAAGAAUUUUGUCAGUCUGGACUGGUUGCAGGACUUGGUUAAAAGUUCUAUUAACUAGAUGCUGCAGCUAAUGUGUUAGUUGAAACAAAGUAUUUUACUUCCAUAUAAUGCUUUUGCUAAAUGAGCGAUGGAUUCUUACUGAUGUGAUGUGCUUAUGUGCAAAGUGUGUAAAAUCCCAUAGCAAAAUCCUUUGAUCUGAUUUUAAUUUGAUCAUCCAGUAAGGCAAGUCCUGAGUGCAAUACUCUUAAUGUUUCUAUUUUUGCUGCAUCGUAGUUUUGUUUCCUUGAUAUGGAGAAGUAAGCUUUUGUCUGUUAUGUUGUACUUAUAUUUUAGAGCUAUUUUUUCUAUCUUUGCAUCCUGCCUGUCACAGAGUACCCUUCUACCACUGCUUGUAUAACAUACUUUUGGCAUCUUUUUGUAUACUUGCUGUUAUACGCAUUUUGAUAUGUCAUAUCGCUUUUCGUUCCUUUUUUGCCUAUUCAGUUGCAGACGGGAAAGAUAAUGCUGAAGACCAAACGGAACCAAUCUUGGCACCUGACCUCAUGAAAUUAUUAGAGGAGUGUAUCUUAACUUUUCGUGUUUUCCUGAAGAAGGACAAGAAAAAGAGCAGUGUCCUCAUGGGUGUUCAUGGCCAUACUGGAAGUUCCAUUCAGCAAGUCCAGUCCUCUCUGGAUAAGGUUAGACUUAAUACUCUCGUCAAAAAACAGUUCUGUUUAUCACCGGGUAUUUUUUCAGUUCCUUGUCGCUACGUUCCAUUGCAUUGGUUAAAUAUGAUCUCUUUGUUCAAUGAUAAUACUAUUAAAAUCCACCUAUUAGUAGAAUGCAUAUUUCCUAACGCACCUGUGACGUUCAUCGAAUAUGGAACGAACUUUUGAAGCAUACUUUUAUGGAUAUGGUGUGCGGUUGCAGCGUUCACGUGAUACUAUUUGCAUUGCUAAUGCAUAUAUCUCCAAACCCGCAGAAGGAGAUGAAGGUGAAAGAGCUGUUCAAGAAGAAAAAGGGUUGGAAGAGCAAGACCUGGCCGACCACAAUGGAGGAAGUCCAGCUGCUGUUUGCCCUGACAGACAUCAAAGUGGUGUCGAGGGUCCUGAGAAUGGCAAAACUGAGCAAGGAGCAGCUACUGUGGUGCGAGGAGAAGAUGAGCAAGCUGGACCUCUCCGACAACAAGCUGCGGCGGGAUGGAUGCCCUAUCCUCUUCCCCUGCUGACGCAUUCUCUUUGGCAGUGUUCGUUCGUUUGGCCCCUCUGCAGAGCAAGCGAGCAUAGCUGCUUCCUGAGCUGAUAUAUGUACAUCUUAGGCUGGAAUGUUUAUACUAAAGUCAAGUGUAGUACCCUACCUAAAAGGAGAUUGGUGUUCCAAUCCAGUUCUGUUGCUCUGCAUUAGUUUGGGGUUUUUAUGCAGCAUGGCAACAGCGUAUGGUAACCAGCUGGUAAAUUCAGAAAUAAACAUCUGGUAAAUUCUGAACACCGUUGCAAACUGUGAAUGGAAAAAAAAAAUCAGCUGGAUAUGCAGGUAUUGGCACAUGAAGAAGGCUUGUCUCAUGUUGGGGCUUGGGACCAGAGCUGUGCUGGACCCCCGCAAGCCAGUUUCUCAGCUGAAUGGUGGGCCUCCUUUGCAAGUGAAGCUUAAAAUGUGGCGCAUCAUCACAGCCAGAACCAGCAUCAGCCAAAGCUCAUGAACGCAUCAAAUGGCUACCACCAAAUUCCUGCUGCCUCGGCCUUCAAUGGUGGGGGUCAUCAAUGCGGUUGUGUGUGUGCCUGCACUGCAUGCAUGCAGUGUAAGCAAACUGAUCCUUCACUGUGCCCUGCGAUUCAUGUGCCAUAAAACUUCACUGUGCAGAUUCACAUCUCUCUCUCUCUCCCUCCCUCCAUGGACCACUUUGACAUUGACACUGUCACACUAGCAUUACUCUUUACCUGCCGAUCCCAUUUGGAAACUUUGUUGAGACUUUCCUCGAGAGCCGAAUCUGACGGCGAUGGCAUCUUCCAACUGUAACCUUGAUGGAAUUCCUCGGUGUAAUGCAGGGCUUGCCAUGUACUCCCACCGUACCAACUGGAUGCAACAGGUCAUGUGAUGAAGGCAGGAGUAGCUAUUCUUCAGUGCUGAGUGCUGACUGACAGAAAGAGCAGAGACACUUUACUAGUUCGAUCCUUUCUUAUACUACUAGUUGCUCUACAGUUUUCACCGGGAACAGAGCGGACACGGUUUCUAUUUUUACCCAGAGGGAUUUAAUAAAACGGCCGUUUUGGUAGGUAACAUGGAUGAGAAAAAAAAGAUUGAACCAAAUGCAGGACAUGGACCGGAGAAGUACAGAUGAACUCAUUUGGAUCUUAGCUCUUGUAGCCAUGCCGUGAGCAGCCGUACUUGAAGCCUUGGACUUCCUGGCAUCACUGGCAGUGAGUGACUUGUGCGUGCACCAGUCAGUCCAGCUUGCAGUCCAACUAGGCCAGUACUACACAUACAGUGUGCAACAGUACACGCAGUAUAACAUGAGCAGCAGAUCUACUCGCCGGAGGCACAGUGUCAUCAUAAACCCGUGCAGGUGCAAGCCCUGGUUUUACUGAUGGGAGGAGUAGAAAAUAGUUUACUGUCAGCUUUUCUCUUCUGCAGGGUUUUCUUGAUCAUUUACACCAGCCCCAGCCCAUCUUACAAAAAUUGCAUGCCCAGUACAACUGCACUGGUAAAUCGCAUUUUCAACGCAAAAAGGCGCUGUUAGAGAAAAAAGCGAGCCCGAUCCAAUGGAUGACAAAUUGACCGGCGGGCCGAGGCUACAGCAUGGACGCAUGUGUGUUGAUUGGACACUGCACUGCUGGGUGGAGUUUAGUAGUACUCGUAGGAGUACUGGUUGCUCUCGCAGCCGCAGAUAAUUCCAGUCUUUCUUUUCCUCUUUUUUUAUAUUUCACUGUGAUGGAUGGUCCACAUGGUAUUGAUGGAAAGAGCAAGUUAAGAUUCUUGCUGUGUCCUCAGGGCUGGGCAUUUGAUUAAGGGUAAGUUCUGCCCCUGUGCCGUGGAUCUAGCGGCAGUAAAUCGAUUAAUUAACUAGUAGGGAGGACACAUUUGGCCAUGUUUCUGGCAAUCAUGUCUUCUUGUUCUCAUGAUCCACGAGACUUUGGGGAAAGCGUGCGGUGGCUUGUUGUGCUUGUCAUUUCUCAGGUUCUACUCUAAGCUGACUACAAUGCUGACCGGCUGGAGUGACCUAGCCAAGUCCUGGUGUGAGAUGAAGAACUGUUAUAUUCCCUUGUUCGUUCUCUUUUCUUUUCAAGCAAGAGAUGGGCACAACCAGAUUAAAAAUAAAAAGUUCUUACCAUGCCAGGCAAAGACCUUAUUUGUCUGGGUUUUCUUUUUUGAAGAGUUAUUUGUCUGGUUUAGCAUGCACAUUUUGUGGCAUUUCCAUGUAUAGCGUCUCUUCAAUUAAUAGCCACCUAAAAUUUCAACUUCAGAGUUAUUAGACGGGCAAUUCUGAAAGACUAUAUUUGUUUUGAUUUCUGCAUUCCCAAUUUGCGCUUGGAUGAUCUAUGUAUCACUAUCCGAGGACGCAUAGCCAUUCAUCUGCAUGCACAGUUCCGUAAUGAUCAUGGGAGAUAAUAAUAACUGAUCGAAAAGGCUGCCUUUCAGUGAGAAAACCCGGGUGAAAAGGGGGGCCAUCUUUCAGCCAGCAGCAUUUCUAUCUUGCCAAGUUUCCUUUUGGGAAAAGGAUUAUAGUAAAAGACAAAUAAGGAUCACAGUUCGUUUGUCGACCUAUGGGCAGAGGCAUGGGUUUUGGUCGAACGGGCAGGCACCAAUCUAAAAGCAUACUAGGGCAAGAUAAAGGUUCAGAAGGAGCAAGGACAUGCGGAGGAAUCUUUCACCUCUUUUGCUUUUCUUCGUUGCUCUUCCGAGACAGGCAUGCAGAUGCAUGCUAACAAACCGUGUUUUAUCUUUUUUGAAAAUUCCCAUGCACGCUCUUCUCCAUCCCCGUCCAUACGAUGGAAGAGACUUUCCGAGCCGCUUUGGGGGUGAAAAAAGAGAGGAAAUAUUCUUCUUUUGCAGAAGAAAUAUCAUGUGUCGUGUCAUGGCGCAAACGUCCCGGCUGAGAAAACAAGCUUCGUUUUUAACCAUGAGCGCACGUACGGAGCCUUCUUGUCGUCGUCGUCGCCGUCGCCGGGUUCGGCCUCCACCUGACACUGAUAGGCUGAUGCCGUGUACGUGGAGAGGACGGCGCGGCGUCCAUACCGUGGUAUUUUUUCUUACUUUCUGUGCUAGUGUUCACAAAUAUACGUAAGAUGUUUCAACUUUCUAUGAAUCAGAUGUAUAUAGACAUGUUAUAAUGUGCUUGUUUACUCAUUUUGAUCUGUAUCCAAGCCUUGGCAAGGGCUCAAUUUUUUUUUUUUGCGAGGGCAAGGGCUCAACUUGAUCGUGGACAAAAAGGUGGAUCAAGCUUUUGGGAGUCUAGUUAAAUGAAAGAUUGGAUCGGGAGACACAACCUUGUUUUGGAAAGACCGGUGGUUACAUGGCGCAACAAUCACUGAUAUUACCCCCUUGGUUGUGGCGAUGGUUCCGACUGGUGCGUGAUGCUAUGGGCAUGCAUGCUUGGAUGAACGAGGUAGUGGGUAACCCAGUUCAUUGGACUUUGGGAGAUCAUUUCGGAGGUUCAAUUGGAUGAAUAGUUGGAGGAUCGCCCCAUCUGGGCUUGGAACGCGUCAGGAGUUUACACAACAUCAUCAGCCUACACGAUGCUAUGCGAGGGAGGAGUGAGAUUUUGCUCUUUCGGAGUCAUAUGGAAAUGUUGGGCUCCACUUGCGUGCAAGAUCUUCAUGUAGCUGGCAGUGCAAUACCGACUGUGGACGUCGGCUAGAAGGACGAGACAUGGUUUGCAAGACCAAACAUCAAAAUGCUACUUAUGUGACCAGGAGGAGGACACGGUUGACCACAUAUUGCAGCAGUGUGUGUUCUCGCGGCAAGUGUGGCACCGUUGCAUUGCUAGGAUGGGUUUGAGGAUUGAGCUUUGCCCUGCAAAUGACUCACGGUUGGUGCAAUGAUGGACGGAAGCUAGGAAACGAAUACACACGCAAACUCAGAAAGGAUUUGACACAUUCGUGAUGCUAAUCUGCUGAACACUAUGAAAACAGAGGAACACGAGGGUGUUCGAAUCGGGCCAGAUCAAGAAUGAGUGGGAUACGGUGGACAUGAUCUUCGACGAUUUGAGGACUUGGGCCACGACAGGAGCGUUUGGAGGACAACUAGUAUCAGAGUAGUCGAGUAGCGUGAGGGAGUGGGGUGGAGGCUUGGUUAUGGUCGACUUGUGACACCUAACUAGCGAAAUUGUAAUCUCUUGUACAUAUUAUUCUCUUUUCUAUAAAGCUAAGGGCCUGUUCUGAUCUCCUCCAACUUCACAAAUCCAGCUUCCCUAGCCAGCUUCACGCUUCAUCUGGCGAUUCCCGAACGUUCUGCGUCGUGUGCAGCUUCUCCCAUCGCUGCAGUCCAGCUGGGAGGUUGUGGGCCUAUUGGGCGCUAUUGGGCCGGUUGGAGGCAGCCCAGUAUGGGCUAGGCAUCGAGGGAAGCCGCCCCUGUACCGAUUCGAUGGAGAGCGAGAGGAGCGUUAUGUUUCGUGCGAGCGUACCGGUUCGCUGGCUUGGACUUGGCGGUGGCACUUCGGUUGUAAUACUGGCCAGCUCCAGCUUUUCCCAUCGGUGGAGCUGGGCCGACGCUGCUCCAGGAUUUUGCACUGCCAUCGGGCAAAACUUCGAGAAGCCAGCUUCUCGUAGCAAAACUGUUCAGGACAAAUUCAUAUGUGAAGUUUGUGAAGUGUGGAGCUGAAGGACUUCAGAACAGACCCUAAGGUACGCCAUUGGCGUACCCUUAAUUUUUUUGAUUUGUAUGUAGUUCAUAUCGAAAUAUUCAAAGCGUCUUAUGUUUGGGAAUGAAGGGAGUAGUUGGACGGAUGCACCGUGGAAGAUAAGAGAAGCGAAGCUUGUAGUAGAUGGGAGAAGGACGAACACAUGGACGGUGAGAUUAUUAUUCCUUUUAUAUGCUAUUAAGAUAUACUAGUGCAAGCCACACCACUUAGUGCAUGGGCAUAAACGAACCUUCGUCUGAAAUUGAGUAAGCCACAAAAGAAAGAUAGGGCAUCUAUUCUGUUCUCUUGGGUGAGUCUUGCUUUUCCUCCAUAAUUUUUAUUUUUUUCCAAGGCCAAAAUUGCGUGUGGGGUUCACACCUUACGCAUGCAUAUGCAUGCAUGGCUGCCAGGAGCCACGUGCAGUGCUACUACAUUAGUUACUCCGUUUUUCUAAUCUGUAUCUAAAAUUUGGUCAAAGUCAGACUUUGCUAACUUUAAUUAAAUUUAUGAAGAAAAAUAUCAAGAUUCGCAAUAUGAUAUCACUAUUAUUAGAUGCAUCAUGAAAUUAAUUUUUAUAUCAUUUAGCUUUAGUAUUAUAGAUGUUGAUAUUUUUUUUAUAAAGUUAGUCAAACUUUACAUAAUUUGACUUUGACCUAAUAUUAUAUGAAGACUAAAAAGAAACGCUGGGAGUUUGUGGGUAUUCUUUUAAUUUAUUUUUUUAUGAUGAUCAGGCCGGUUUCUUUGGUUUACACUUGGAAGUGUUUGUUAGAGCCUCCGAGGGCGUUUGUGGGUUUUUUUUCUAUUUUUCUUUUAUGAUUUGGGUUUUGUUUUGGUGGUACAGCUACAAUUGAAUCGCCGCCUAGUAGCUAGCGAACGUGAGAAGCGUGAGGCGUGCAGAGCGGCAUGCAUGCAUGAACCGACCUGAUCACCAUAAUACUUAAGCGAGAAGCUUCGUUUGUUUGGCAUGGAACUCUUUGAUCCGCAGGAAUUUAUUUUAAUUAAUUUGCAUGAAGGAUCCAAUUUUGAGGGGGCUUUCGUGCUGGAAAUGCCGUGCAUGUCGCAGCUGGCCUCUUUGUUUUUACCAAGAACCUUUUCAUUGCGAUUAAAAACCCGGACCCAUAACACCAAAUCUCCUACUACUAAUGCAAUGAAUUGAAGCCUGGAGAUCGCAGGGCAUCCGGAUACCCACUCCCUCACAAGGAUCCAAAAACCAUCGUCAUGGUCAUACUUCAGUUUCUAGUUGCGUAGCGCCACAAGUGCUGUCGCAUUGCAUACCUCCAAACGCCAUGAAUUUUCGCACUCGUCACAAGUUCUUAGUAAAAAAAAGCACCCCCAGCCCCCGCCCUCGUCUCUCUGUAAUAACAAGAAUGUAAAAAUUCUCGUGUGAGAAAAGACAGUUCUCCGAGCCGGAAGUUUCCUCAAGUGCACAAACAAACCUACUACUGAGAGCCCAAUUUUUUCCAUAAAAUGGCAGAGAGUAAAUGGGCAGUAGGGCUAAAAAAAGAGGAAAAUGAAUGAGUAGGGCAUUAUUGGGAAAUAACAGCAAGCGUAGGGUCAUACCCCCCAAUUCAUCCGUCCGCCCCCGCUUUUCUCUCUCCUCCUCCUUCGGUGACCUCCCCUCCUUUGCAGUCUUUUGACCGUUGUUGCCCCUCCCCUCCCCUCCCUUCUCUCUCUCUUCCCCCUCUGCCACUGCCACUGCCACUGCCACCCACACUCCUCUCCGCCCUCUCUCUCUCUCUCUCUCCCCACAAAUCUUUCUUCGACCCCUUGUUCUUGUACACACCCACCCAAGGGGUUUGAGGUGGUCGUAGAGAAGAAGGUCCUCCUUCAAUCCCAGGUAUAGACCUCCCUCACCUCACCUGAUCCUAUUUUUAAUCUCUUCUUGUGUAGGUUCGCAUUGCCUUGCCCCUCCUUUUGUCCCCACCUCCCCUUUUGUUUUGUUUAAUGUUGGCCAUUGAUGCGGUUGGGUGAGAGGUUUCCUGGGCCAAAGUAGAGAGAGAAAGUGCUGCGUGUGUGCUUGAGAGAGAGAGAGAUGUUCUUCAUCCAUAGAGAGAGAAUUUCGUGAUUCCCCUCUUUGAGCGCUCCAAGAACAUGUACGUAUCUAUCUAGUAGUAUGCCCCUGGUUUCUUCUUCUCUCUCUCUCUCUCUCUCUCUUUCUCUCUCCCAGCAGUCUCCUCUGCAUCGCUCUCUGUUUUUCCCUGUCUUUGCUUCACCCACACUUCAGAAUGAUGUGUUCCUGUACUGUGCACCUGAUCUUUUUCCAUACGAUUUUUAUUUUGCCUGCUGUUUAAUGUGGCUAGCCGAGAAUUCAGCAGCCGUUUCUUGUUGAUUAUUGCUGCCACAGCUGUGGUGCUCUCUUCUUUUUUUACUGCGACAGUUGUGAUGCUCUCUUCUUUUUUACCCGAGAUUUCAUCGUCUCCACCUUCCCCCUCGCGCAUCAUCAGAUACCGUGUUCUAGUUUCUUUCGGUUCUGUAGCGGAUAACGGAGGUAGUCUAAUGCACUUCCUUGUUCCCGGUAUCUGCUCCAUGAUUUUUAUCUAUAUUUUUGCAUUUCCCCUUCAAUUCUCCUUGCUUCAUCUGGUUCUGAAAAUUUCAGAGCGAGGAUUGCCUUUCCUGCAAGCGUUGUGUUUUUUUGGUUCGGCUCCGUAAUUUCUCCAUCUGUUCCGUGCCUUGGUUAAGCAAGAUGCAACGCAACGAGCACUGAUGCGCCUCUGGUUUGUCCUGUCCAGCAAAUAUCUUAAUUUUUCCAUUCCCUUCCGUGGUUCCACUCGCAGGUUGGCAAGAGCAAUUGAACUAGUACUCUUUUCCCUUGUGGGCAGUUUACCAAGAGACAAGUGUUAUUAUUACCCAUCAUCAUCUUCAGAGCUUUCUUGUAAUCUUCUUCUUGUUACAGCAUUUUUCUUUACCUUUUGCCCAACCGCUUAAGCACCGGAAAAUCAGUCCACCAUGGAGAUGUGGGAAUUUAGUCCAUCCGGGCCAACACUUCUGUUUGCCUACUGACCCCUCAUUUCACCUUCAAGAUAUCUUUGCAUUGUGUUUUUCUGGCUGCUUGUGAUUCGUGGACGGUACAAGAUCGUUGUUUGUGCUAAUUUCACUGCGGAAAAACAAAUGCUGUUUUGAAUUCCAAUGUUUCAUUAGUUUUACCCAGCACCGUCCUGGCUCUGUUAUCUUCAAUGCACUGAACUGAAUUCAGUAUAGAUAUCGAGUCAGCUUACCGUAGCCAUGAUUAUGCAAGUAGGCAGUAGGACCGAUCAUGUCUUGCUGGGCCAAGGUUACAUUCCUAACUUUCUUGCUUUCUUAGCCCUCGUUUAGGAGGAAGGAAUGUCGCUGCUAGCUAACCGAAAAAUGUGUAGGGUAUGUUUUGUCAGUGGGGUAUUUCGUUUCCAAAGGGACAUCUUUCUAUGGUGUUGUAGCUCUCACUGUCUUUUGAGAAGAGCAUUUUUUGGGUCUUGUGAGAAGUAGUUGCAUUUCAUGUUAGAUCCCAGUAGUCAAUCCCAACACUCCUGAUAGCCUGUUGCUGGUGAAUAACCUAUGCCUGAGUUCCCUUUUGACACACAAUUUGAUUGCUUCUGAAAUGUCUGGAAUUUGCUCCUGAAAUGUCUGAAAUUUGCCUGAUUGUAGGUUGUUCAUUGGCUUCAGAUGCAAUGCACAGGUUGACAACAACUGAGCACUCUACAGUAUCAGGUAAUUUCUGCACUUACACAUGAUGCCUGGUUUACUGAAGCUGAAACUUACCUGCCGCUUUCCUUUUUUUGUUUUUUCACAUGUAAAGGCUCAGAAGUUCUUCCCGGGGCAUGACAUAUUCCUGACAACACAAGACUCUGGAGACAUGGGAUGUGCUGCUUCCAGAUUGGAAGAUGAGGAGGCUGUUAAGAUGUGCCGGGACAGGAGGGACUUCAUCAAGCAGGCACUGGAGCAGCGAAACCGUUUUGCGUCCUCUCACAUCGCCUACAUCGAGUCCAUGAAAUGUGUUUCGAUGGCCCUACAGAGGUUCGUCGCUGGAGAUGAUCGGCACGAGCUCAUUUUUGACCCAUUCAUCUCUCCUGUCAAGCAACAGAAGCCAGAGAUGCUCGGCCUUCCUUAUGGUUCGUAUGAGAAGAGGACUGUUCAUGUCGCCAAGUACUUGAUGUCAGGACCAAACCCAUCAGUGUCAGUUGAAGAGGCUCCACGGCCCGUGGAAACAAUCCGUGUUGAGUCACAUUACCCUGUGGAUAGCUAUGGUGGCACAGAUAGAUCCUUCCCGGCGACUUCCUCACCGAUGAGGCCAUCUUCUCACUAUACACCUUAUGACAGGCCAAGCUAUGUACCUCCAUUACCCCAGGAACCAGUGAGGAAUGCUUAUUACAUGCCACCUUAUGAGAGGCCAAACUACGCACCUCCAUCAUCCCAGGAGCCAGUGAGGAAUUCUUCUUAUUACAUGCCACCUUAUGACAGGCCAAACUACGUACCUUCAUCACCCCAGGAUCCAGUGAAGAAUUCUUCUUAUUACAUGCCACCUUAUGCUCCACCACCCCAGGAGCCAGUGAGGAAUUCUUAUUACAUGCCACCUUAUGAGAGGCCAAACUACGUACCUCCAUCACCCCAGCAGCCAGUGAGGAAUUCCUCUUAUUACACGCCACCUUAUGACAGGCAAAGCUAUCCACCUGCUCCACCCCAGGAUCCAAGGAGGACAUCUUAUUACGCAUCUCAUGACAGGCCAAACUACCCACCCUCAUCACCCCAGGAACCAGAAUCAUCACCGUGGGACUCCUUCUGGAAUCCAUUCUCGCCGCUGGACAGCUAUCCGUACCCGCGCCCUCGGAGUAGCUAUGACAAUGUGGUCACUGACGAUGAAUUGGCACGGUUACAGCAGGUAAGAGAGGAGGAAGGAAUCCCAGAACUCGAAGAGGAAGAUGAUGAAUGUCAAAAACAUGAACAAAUGCACAACAAAGAGGGGGAGGGGGAGGGGGAGGGGGAGGAGGAUGAUGAAGAAGAAGAAUCUGAUGAGGAUGAUGAUGAAGAAGAAGAAUCUGAUGAAUGUGAGCAUUCAGAUGACCAAAGAUGUAUGGCUUCUAACGAGGCUCGCCCAGGAAAAUCUGAAGUCAAUGUCAAGCAAGAACAAAAGGGACAUCAAUCCAAAGGUGUUCAAUGCGCAGGCUCAUCCGAGCCCCGAAAUGCAGUAGACCAUGAGAUCAAGGCACAUAAGAAAGAACUAAGGAGGAACAAAGUAGCAAAUGCAGAAGAAACCCCAGGUUUCACUGUGUAUCUGAACCGAAGGCCAACGAGUUUGGUCGAGGCUAUGAAAGAUAUUGACAGUCAGUUCUUGGGGAUCUGUGGCGCUGCUCAGGAAGUCUCACGGAUGUUGGAGGCAAGUCGAGCUCAAUACCCAACCUCAAAUGAUCUCUCUGGUACCACUUUUAUAAACCAAUACCGAAGUUAUUAUUUAAAAUGUUUCAGAUUUCAGUCGCUGAACUUCCUCAUGAUUUUUUUAAUGCAGUAAAGAUGCUAAACCCAGUCGCACUUUUGCGAUCUGCAUCAAUUCGAUCAUCAUCUUCCCGCUUCCUUCUUGCUUCCUCUGGCUCAAUAGAUGAUCUUUUUGACAAUGAUACAAACAGCUGUUACUCUGAAGAAUCUUGCAGCACAAUGUCUGGAAGUCAUCACUCCACUCUGGAUAGACUGUAUACAUGGGAGAAGAAAUUAUACAAAGAAGUGAAGGUACGAUCUUUGUCACCGUCACGAACCUAUACCAACAGAUCAGUAGAACCGACUAGCGGAAGUCAUGCCUUUGUCACUUGUAGGUGGGUGAGCGAUUAAGACUUGAGUAUGAGAAGAGGAUGGCACAUUUGCGGAGCCAGGAUGUGAAAGGGGAGGAGCCUUCUUCUGUCGAUAAGACUCGUUCAGCGUUGAGAAGCUUACAAACUCGGAUGAAGGUGUCAAUACAAACUGUUCAGUCAAUAUCAAGAAGAAUUGAAGUUCUAAGAGACGAGGAGUUGCACCCUCAACUUAUGGAGCUUAUCCAAGGGUAUGCUUUUGCUCACCAUUGUGAAGUUAGUACAAUUUUUAUAAGCCAACAUUUCAUAAAUAAUAUGUUAAUUGGUCAAACAAUGGGCAUAGUCCAAUCAAGCAAGAGUAGAUGAUGGCCAGCCAGGCAGCCACGACUUAAAAAUGUCAUGGUUCCUAUACUUGGAAUUUACUGAUGAUAUGAUAUCGCUACAAUUUUCAGCAAAGGGUGAAUAGCUGUUGGGUUAUUGAUCAUAGUAGGCAUGCUGAUGUAGGAAUGCACGUGAAUUUAAGGGAUCUUGCCUGAUCGUAGCCUUUGAUAGUAACAGAGCUAUUCUUGCAUUGUGCAGACUGUCGCGGAUGUGGCGAGCCAUGGCUGAACGCCACGAGGCUCAGAAGCGGACCAUCGACGACGCCAAGCUUCUCUUCCUCCAACACCGCGCAUCGGCGGCGACCACCAUGGCUCUCGGUCCUCCAGAGGCGACGACACCGCCUCCUGCCGCCAUCGCCCUCGAGUGCGAGGUGCGAGCCUGGCGUGGAGCCCUGGACGCCUGGCUGUUGGCGCAGCGCGCGUACGCGCGCGCCCUGGCCGCCUGGGCACGACGCUGCCUUGGCAUUGGCGCGGGCGCCGCUGCGCCGGGCACCGUGCCCCCGGCGUUCCUGGUGUGCAUGGAGUGGGGGCUCGCCGUCGAAGCGGCGUCGGAGGCGCGGGUGAUGGACGGGCUGGACUUCUUCGUGGCCGGCGUCGGGUCGGUGUGCUCGGGAGCUGCCGCGGGCAUGGAGGGCAUGGCGGGGCGCGUGCUCUGCGCCGGCUUGGGCGCCGUCACAGGCGCCAUGGCCGAGUUCGCCGCGGCAUCGGCUGACGGGUACGACGCCGCGGUGUCGGCGGCGGUGGCCGCGCGCGCGCCGGAGGGCGGGGAGGAGGAAAACGCGGGAGGACCGCCGCAACAGUAGGAAAUUCCGCAAAACCGUGGAUAAAUUGUUUUUUUUUUGGAGUUGGAACCGUGGUGUUACAUGUAGCUAGGAAGUUGAAGCAUGCAGUCACAUGUGUAAUUUUGUAGCUAAAAAUGCAAUUGCAUGGCUGAUUAUUGGGAGGGAUGGUUCCCCCAGUUUAUACUAGCAGCAGUAGCAGUGUUACCUUAUCCCUGGUGUUUUUCGUCGUACUGAAGUCUGAAUGGUUUUUGGUAUUCUGAUGAUUUCUUUUCUACUGUAUAAGCGCCACGUUAAGCAGUUUAGAGCAUUUUAGAUUAGUUUAGAGCAUCCGCGGAGGUUGCGUGAACGGUUAGGAGAGGCAAAAAUUGAAGAGGUGAGGCUAGACCUAAGUCAACUCAACUCAGAUUUAACCAAGUCUCAACCAAGUCUCAGUCAAGUGACAAAAAAUAUAAAAAGAUAUUUCUUUUUGCAUGGAUCUUCACGCAAGAUCUCGAAAUAUAGUAUCGACUGAGAUUUAACAAUUUUGAUAUUAAAAUCGCAUGAUUGUAAGUUCAACCCCCGUGGCAGAGGUGAUGAACAUGGCUAGCCCCCUAGUAUCUUAGGUUUCUCAUGUGUUGUGGCGACCCUGCAGGAAUCCACUAUAGCCAAUCUAGGGAAGGACAUCCCGCCCUCUCCUACGCCGGAGUAGUGCCCUAGAAUUAGAAAUUCUUCGCACAUGGUGAAUGUGCGUCACCUGGGCCACAUCUCUAUCGACAACGUCGAAUUCAAGGGUAGCGGGAUGGCAGAAGCCUCGACAAAGAACAUAGGACCUAACCCAACAACAAAGAUGAUGCUCUUCUCCAAAGGAUGGAGAUCACAGAAGAGUAAGGAGAGGUGGUGGAUCUCUCGGGACUGGUUGGGACGCCCACAUGGGAGAUGCUUUGGGCGAUGAUUCUUAGGGUUUGUGUUUGAACUCCCUUCAGCCAUACGAUGCUCUUCAUCGCCAUGCAAGUUGCCUGGGGUUGCUCAAAGGAGGUCAAAUUUAGGCCCUUCGAUGACUACACAUUCAUAACUUAGUUUCUAUGCUUUGGAAGUGGAAUAUUGCAAUGCAUGAGGACCGUGGUUGUUCAGUCAUCAGCCGACAGGGUUUAGUUCAAUUCAAAUGAAACAUAUGCAUUUAUCCUAUGAGGGGGCUUAGGCAAGGGGGGUCCCCUACCGACUUCCAUGUUCUUGAUUUUGUGCUAAGGGUUUAUUUAGUUUUCUAGCACAUGAGUAGGAGAUCGGCGGUGUCCAAGGGCUUAGGGUGUGCCGUAGUGCACCAUCAAUUUCAUGCUUGUUAUUUUCUUAUGACUACCUAAUCUUGAUGAGAGCGGAUGCGUUGAAUGCCAUGACACUCCCGAAUGCUCUAGAUAUGUAUCAUGGAAGCUUUGGGCAGUUGGUCCGCAAUGCAAAGACCAUUUUUUUUCCAGCCCUAAUACGACCAUGGAGGUAUGUGAUGAGGUAUGUGCAUAGCUUAACAUUGUUUUAGAGGCAUUGACUGAUAAGUAUUUGGGAUUACCACCAUUUGAUCGUAGUGGUUGCUUCCAACAUCUUUUUGAUAGACUUUGUGCACUUACCAAUGGUUGGCUAUCAAAGAUGUUAUCUCUUUGUGUAGGGGGGGGGAGAUGUUAUCUAUUAGUUGGAAAGAGAUACUUCUGAAGGUAGUUGCAUAGGCAAUCCCAGUCUAUGAUAUGUCUGUUUUUAAUAUCUCAAAGUAUAUAUGUAAGGUCGUCUGUGAUGCUAUUGCUAGAUUCUGGUGGCAUGGCACUUCAAGGUAAACGAAAAUUGCAUUGGAAGGUGCGAUGGAAAAUGUGUGUUCCAAAAAAUGAAGGUGGCAUGGGGUUUGAAGACUUACAUUGUUUCAAAAAAGCAAUGAAAACAGUGUUGGAGAUUAUUGUCUGAACCAUAAUCACCAUGUUCUCAGGUCCUUCAAGCCAAGUUUAUCUAGAUUAGGACUUAUGUAAGGCUAUGUUGAAGAACGAAUCAUCAUAUACAUGGCAGAGCAUUCUAUUUGGUUUGAAAACUCUUAAACACGGAGCUAUAUGGCGACCUAGAGAUGGUGCAAUGAUUAAUUUUUUGAAGGACGAUGAAUCCCGAUGAGCCAUGAUCACACCAUAAUUACUCAUGGGGACAGUGUUUGUUAUAGAUAGUUCAUGACUUAAUUGAUCCAAUUUUAGGGAACUAGGAUGUGCAAAUGAUCGAGGAUAAUUUUGGCCACUUGACGUUGUGAGAAUUCUUCAAAUCCCUCUACCUUCACAUGAUCAAUCAAACUUUAUUGCAUGUCAAUUUACCAAGUCAGGAUGCUUCACCAUGAGAUCGGCGUACCAUGUGGCUUGGAGGAAAGAGAAUAUAGAUUGAGGGUCUGACUUAAUGUGGGAGAAGGAAGGAUGGGUCCACAUCUGGUUUGGAAGUUUUUCUGGGGAAGAUCUGUAUCCUCGAAAGUUCAUAUUUUCAAUUGAAGGGUUUUGCACGGCAUAGUUCCCUGGUGUUGCACGUUGGCGGAUCAACAUAUAAAACUCUAGUUGUAUAUAUAGUCUGUUGUACUGAUUGGGAGGAUCUCUAGCACAUGGUUUUUACUUGUGACAGAGCUAUGGAGGUGUGGGAGGAACUUGGUCUUAGGGACUAUACCGAAUCAGUUGUUGUUCAAGAGCUAUCUAGGGCAACGAUCCUUGAAGAGUUGGUAUGUGCUGAGCUCCCAGCAGGAACGGGCAUUCCAAUUGUAAUGGAAUUCAUACUAUCAUGGUGGCAUGAUGGUGCAUCUAGUGGGAGUUUUGGAAAAUCGCCCAUGAGGUGAAAACGCCCCCCUAUACAAUAUGUUUUAAGCAUCAAGGGGAUUGUGGCGAAUGUAUUAGCAACAUAGGUAAAGGAACCAACAAGACAAAUGAAGUGAUUGGACCGACUUCAGGAACUAUAAAACUGAAUGUUGAUGCUAGCUUCCAUCCAGAGUCUGGUGCAGUGGGAGCUUUGCUCUCGGACUCAAAUGAGAAGUUCAUUGCCGCAUCUUGUUCAUAUUAGGAGUUCUCCAUGGAUGCCUUGAUGGAGGCUUUUAUGUUGUUUGAGGAGCUAUGCUUGGUAGAUGAGUUGAGGAUUUUACUCGGUGGUGGUAGAAUAUGACUCAAUGGAGAUCGUGCAUGCCAUCCUAGAUCCUUUAGAGUGCCGAGCUUCAGGGUUAAUAGUGAUUGAUGAUUGCCCUACAUUGUUGAGUUCUUUUGGCAGGGCAAUGAUUGCACAUUGUGCCUGAGAGAGCAAUGUUGUUGCACGUUCACUAGCUCGAGCAAGUUAUAAAGAGAAAAUUUCAGAGGAAUGACGUGAACAUCCUCCGGACUUUCUAAUCCCAUCUCUUGUAACAAACAUGGAUAUUGUUUAAUUAAGGUUGACAUAGUUAAAAAGCGCAUGAUUUUAGCAAUCUAGAAAACUCAUUUUGGAAUUUACUUUUAAGAUCUAAGCCCAGGAAAAUUCUUAGCUAUGCUUUGGCUUGGCUAAUACAAUUGUGAUAGAUUGAGUGUAAUUUUCAGAGAAAGAAUCUUGUUAAAGGUGUGAUUUGAAGCAAGAACUUACUUGGUUAUAAUGGCGGACUCAGAGAUUGAGGUUAGCCAGGGAGAGGACGACGACAAUGCUUGACAGCUUCGCAGUCGCUAGUGAUGAGUAGGCGAGGUACCUUGCUCCAUUAAAUAACCCGACAAUAACCCUUGUUUGCCCCAAUCUUGGGCUGACCACUGCUUGACUGGUUAAACUUUGUACCAUUAUGUCUUUGGAAUGGAACCUGACCAAAUGGCUACAAUGCAAUACGAAGAAAAACUUGGUUAAAUUUUCCAAAUUUAUUGAAGUGUGUCAAUGUAUUUUACAAUAUAUGGUUAGAAACUAGACAACCUAAUUCUACACAAAAAUGAAUUUAUAGGAGCGGCUCCAAACGAGGCCGCAUAUAUCUUGUUGAAGCUUUAACACCCUCUGGAGUUGCUUAUACCAUAUUUGAUACUUGAGAUCGGGAGUUCGAUGAAAAAAGUUCAUAAGAAUGCUUCUAAUGGAAGACUACAGAAUUCUAUGAUUCUUCUAUUUUGAUACCAAAAUGAAGUAAGCUAAGUCAAAUAAUCAUUUGUGUUGAACCAGCAGGAGAGCUACAUGUCAAUUCAUUAUGAGAGGAAAAUGAUACAUCACCAUAGAAGGCGCGAACCAUACAACACCAAAGAGGCACAACCAAAAAGGAAGAAUCUAAACAACCUAAGGAUCAAGAUUCAUAAGCAAGAGAUGACCAAACCCAACCUAAGGUAGAGAAAAAGUAUGCCAUACGACACGAAAAGCAAUAAACGUCUGAUGCAAGAUCCUAAACACCAGUCAACUACAAUACGACCUAAACACAACAACCACGAUGGCCUACGAUGACCUACGACAACAACGACUGACGCACACAAGCACCACAAGGACUAAACAACAACCAACCAUAAGACAACACUUCUUGCAAAAUCCAAGGCCAUUCUAAUGCUACCAUAUCGGUCUUUACUAAAGCCGUAGAAGAGGGGCCGAGAAGGUGGACAUGAACCAACUAGAGGGGAGCAAGAGCACAAGAAAGCACCAUGAUGAAAACCAUUGCGACUGAUGACCUGAAUCUGGAAUUGCCGCACCAUGUGCGAAAGAUAUCGAACCGAAAUGACGUCCACACCAUCACAAACAAGAAGCCUUCGAGCACAAGUGACCAAUUACCAAAUCCCAAAUUCACCACCAGCGGGAGACAAGCUGACAAAUAAUGACCAAAUCGGCGGCGGAAUCAACGGGGUGGAAAACCAAACGACGAAAUCCCACUCACUACUGGUCGGACACAAUCCACUAGGAGGAAAAACCGCCAGAUCUGGAAGAACCUUCGCCAAAUCUGGUAGAACCCCCACCAGAUUUGACAGAACCUCCACCAAAUCUAGCAAGUAACGACCGAGACAAUGGGGUAGGGGAAGGGGCGAGGAAACAGAUGCACACCUGAAUCGACCUGAUACAACAACCGUUGCAUCUCGACAUGACCCCUGGAAAGCCAUCGAAGCAACACCAAGCAACCACACUCAGCUAGAACAUACGUGCCCAAACGACUGGAAGAAGCAACCCAUGGAAGAUGUCCCUCUGCUGCCGUCCUUGGUGGCCGCGUGGGCUUUAGCACCGACAACGCGGUGGUGAGAAGGGAGUGGUGGUGGCGAAGGCCUGGCGGCUAGGGUUUGGUUUGCUACUCCUCGCCCCAUGGGGAGCGACACAGGGUUCGGGGACGAAGGUGUCAAAUAAUUAUAGCC